rnacentral:lncRNA from 1 species
CAUGCAACGCCACUGAUUCUACAGCCAAAAUUAUUUUUUGUAAGAGAUAAUUAGCUUCAUGUAAAUCUUGCUGACACUUGCAAUUGUACAACUUUGACUGAAACUUGAUGUUCAAUUUUUAUUAGUGUGCACUACUUACUGGUUCAGUUUGAUGUUCAAUUUUUAUUAGUGUGCACUACUUACUGGAUGACACACAACUUUGGAUGUUCAAUUUUCUUGUGCAUAUGAUUGAAAUCUAACUAAACCUGAUAUCACAUCUAAUCUAAUGCUAAGAAACUUUUAGGAAAUUUAUCCGUACUGAUCGUUUCCACGACAGUAAACUAUAUGCAUAUCUAGGAUAUGAUGCAAGCGUGUAGUAGCAUGAGACCUCUUUCCUAAUUUAGGACAUGAUGUGAACCUUGCAUCUGAUUUAUGAGGUGUGUUUUCCUCUUUGAUGUUUUCCUUUCUAAUCCAGUUCCCUUGAUGCUUCAUGCGAUUCACAUAUGUACCAUAUAUUCUGACUUCUGGAUGCCAGGUAUUCUUAUUUUCUCAUGUGCUUAAUUGUGUUUGUAGGUAUUGAAUUACACAGAAUUUGCUGGAGGGCAACUUUUCCCAUAAAACUUAAAGAAUGAGUUGUGAGGUGGUACUAAGGGGCUUUAGGUACGGAGAUUGUUGGCAGCGGCACACGCGAUGGUGCUCACUUGUGCGAUUUGGCAAGGAAGUAUGUGAUCAUAAUAUUGCUGUUGUCAGCGGAGGCUUGCCUCACCGCAUACAAUUUCUCUCAAUCAAUAUUUAUUUGUCAGAUUGGUCCUUUGGCUAUUGAGAAAUCACCCUGCCUAGGUUCAAUUAUUUAGAUGAGUUUGUUUCAGUAUUUUGGUUAAUGCCUUAGCAUCUCUCUGCUUUGUCUGAAAAUUUAUUUGUAUGCUUUGUGCUUGGUCUCCUACAGGAAGAACAUGGUGAUUGGCUGCGCUGGUGCUUCCAGACUUGCCUGACAUGGAAUCCUUCAGUUGAGGUUUGUUUUUUCGCUACCUUUUAACUCUCUGCACCCUUCUUUUUUCCCUGCUCUUUCCAGCCAUGGUGGUUUGGUUCAUUGUAUUUGCUUGGAUUGUUUAUUAAGUAGUCCUACAGUGUAGGGUUCAUAGAGCAUCCAAAUAGUGUUUUCUCCUAUCAGGUUGUGUCUUUAGUUUAAAAAGACACUGAGUUGCUUGGAGUGUCCAAAAUUGUGCGCCUUGCUGACAAAAACAAAGACAGAAAUACAUCACAUCCACAUACAUAGCUCCCUAAGCCUAGCGACAGACAGCUUGUGCGCGGACACAUGUCAAGCUUCCACACUUGGCUCAGGCACUCCAGCAGGCUGAUUGAGCUUGAGUAAGUCGGUAGCUUAGCUGCUCGUCUGUGGGUGCAUGGCAAGAUGCGCCUCCUGCACUAGAAUAGCAUAAUUUAUAGUUUUCCUAUGCUAAUACUUAAUACUCCUACCUCAUAGUUGGACAAACAAACAUAACAGAAUCCAAUGCCUUGAACCCAAGUUUGAUUAUUUAUAUACCAGCUCAUGAAAAGGGAAUCGAAUGGUAUAUUGCUUGAUUAAGCUGAGUACGCAUUACCAUGUGAUGGCAACAUAUUCAGAGACUUACUCCAGGUCAUAUGAAAUAGAGACCCAAAAUAACAUACAACUAUGCAAUUUUGACAUUGUUUCCUUUGGCAGUUUGGCACCAUCCAAGCAGACAAGAAUUCUGUGCACUUGUUCUUUUUUUUCCCUUCCUCAACAAAUUAAUUGAUUUUUUUUGUUAAAUGUUGUUUGCAGGAAGAUUGAUUCUUGCAGAUGUGUGGGAAGAACUUGUGGAGAGGCUCACCUCACUCUUCACAAAAGGCCAAUACAUGCUUGUUGUACUCCUGGAUGAAUUUGUAUCUCUAUAUAUAUGUUUGUAAAUGUUUCUUGUGUGGCUUUAGUGAUGCCUUCUAGGAUCCUUGUUGUAAUGGACAGAAUAUUUUGUUAGAAAGGAUAAUGGAUGAAACAACUGGGAAUUUGUGAACUGGGCCAAAUUAUGUGCCUGGGACAUCAAGAUAAUUGAGUUGUGUAAGUUUGUUGUGCUAGUUGGGCUGAUGGAUGGAAUGGAUUGUUUUUGAAUUGGGUGAAUCAUAAGCCCAAAUUUUCAUGUUGGGCCUUAU